rnacentral:rRNA from 2 species
CGUGAACCAUCGAGUCUUUGAACGCAAGUCGCGCCUGAGGCUAUCUGGCUAAGGGCACGCCUGCCUGGGCAUCACG